rnacentral:rRNA from 1 species
ACGAGUGGCGGACGGGUGAGUAACGCGUAGGAAUCUACCCAAUAGUGGGGGACAACCUGGUGAAAACCAGGCUAAUACCGCAUACGCCCUACGGGGGAAAGCAGGGGAUCUUCGGACCUUGCGCUAUUGGAUGAGCCUGCGUUAGAUUAGCUUGUUGGUGAGGUAAUGGCUCACCAAGGCGACGAUCUAUAGCUGGUCUGAGAGGAUGAUCAGCCACACUGGGACUGAGACACGGCCCAGACUCCUACGGGAGGCAGCAGUGGGGAAUAUUGCGCAAUGGGCGAAAGCCUGACGCAGCCAUACCGCGUGUGUGAAGAAGGCUCUAGGGUCGUAAAGCACUUUAAGCAGGGAGGAAGGCCUGGAAAUUAAUACUUUUCAGGAUUGACGUUACCUGCAGAAUAAGCACCGGCUAACUCCGUGCCAGCAGCCGCGGUAAUACGGAAGGUGCAAGCGUUAAUCGGAAUUUCUGGGCGUAAAGCGC